AGAAAGAUUAAACUGAAGAGUUUGAUCAUGGCUCAGAUUGAACGCUGGCGGCAGGCUUAACACAUGCAAGUCGAACGGUAACG
rnacentral:rRNA from 1 species